GGGAACUCUGGGGGCUGCUCUUUCCCCUGGUUGUCCUCACUGGGGGUCUCUGGGGGCUGCUCUUUCCCCUGGUUGUCCUCACUGGUGGCCUGUGGGGGCUGCUCUUUCCCCUGGUUGUCCUCACUGGGGGUCUCUGGGGGCUGCUCUUUCCCCUGGUUGUCCUCACUGGUGGUCUCUAGGGGCUGCUCUUUCCUCUGGUUAUCCUCACUGGUGGCCUGUGGGGGCUGCUCUUUCCUCUGGUUAUCCUCACUGGUGGCCU